ACGGAGGAUGCGAGCGUUAUCCGGAUUUAUUGGGUUUAAAGGGUGCGUAGGCGGACUUAUAAGUCAGCGGUGAAAGACUGUCGCUCAACGAUAGCAUUGCCAUUGAAACUGUCGGACUUGAGUGUAAAUGAGGUAGGCGGAAUGCGUGGUGUAGCGGUGAAAUGCAUAGAUAUCUGCAGGAACACCCGUGGCGAAAGCGGCGCGCUGGACCACUACUGACGCUGAGGAACGAAAGCUAGGGGAGCAAACA
rnacentral:rRNA from 1 species